UUAUCUGUGUUUUAUUUCUCUGUUCUCUGUGUAUAAACACUACAUCCACUUCCUCGUCCUCAAGCCUGGAAGAGGCAGGGCCGCUCUGUCGCCACCUGCCGGUUCGGCCUGUAAUUUACAAAUACCGACCCGAAGAAAACCGGAGCAAAACCCCCAAAAACGGCACAGCUGCGGAGCUGCGGAGUAGUUUGGAGCCUUUUCUAAAACAACAGCUUCGCAAAGUCAAGCUGGAAAUAGGUAGACCGGUUUACGAGCAGUCAAAGCUGUCGGCCUUUUCGAAUUUUCCGUUCCACCUUAAAUAGUGCAGCAGUCACAUUCUGGCGCCUCAGGUAUGUAUGUAACUGCUGUACCAUUUAAGGUGGAACGGAAAAUUCGAACGGUAAGCUGGCGAAUAGCAAGCUAACGGCCAGUUUUGCUGCUUUAAAGGGUAAAAUAUGAUGCAUUUCGUUUGAGUUUGAUGGUUUAGUUGGAUUAUAACAGCAACUUCGACUGGUUUAUCAGCCAAAUCCAGUCGGUCAACCAUCUCAGACGAGCUAAAAGGAGCUAGCUCCCAACAUCAGCAGUAUCUGCUCCUCACCGCUGAAGAUACUCAGCGCGGUGCAGGAUGGAGAGCAGAUCUACGAAGGAGGGAGAGGUUUUCCUGCAGCUCCACCUGCUGUACGACUCUGAAACGUCCUGCACCAAGUCAGUAGGAACUGAUCUCUCCAUGGACGACAUCAGAAACCUGCAGGCUGAAGUGUGGAGGCUGAGAGACACUCUCUAAGGAGGAGAUGGAGGACGUACCCGUCCUGUGUUCAGUCUGUAAAGCGAAACUAAACCACACUGAAGCCCAGAACUCUGAACUCACAGCUGGAGACCAGAGUAUACAUACCGGACUCUGUGAGUGAGAGUGAGCAGCAGGACUCGGUGCAGGACGUGGAGCAGGACAGAGGCAGCCUCUCUCUGCAGUGCUACACUGACCCAAACCCUACAGAGAGUGUGGCCUCCGGCUGUACCGCUGCAGCUCAGCCCCCCUUAAAGACGUGUUCAGUGAGGCUGGAGGACUGCAGGACCAUGAUGGAGCUGAGUGGACGCAUCUCAGCAGAAGGAGAACGGAGCGACGGGGACGGCAGUGAUCAUGAAGACGAUGACUUUGUUCCCCACAGUGAUGAUGAGAACUGGUUGCCUUCGUCUGAAGAUCAUGGAAGAAGGAACCAAAGUCCAUUGUAUGGCUUGCAGGUUCAGGAGGCGGUUCACAGUGAGGUGAAGCGGUUUCACUGUUCGCUGUGCGAGAAGAGUUUUUCCACUUCAGGAACUUGGAAAACACACAUAAAACGACACAAGAUGGAGAUGGACUUCCACUGCGAGGAGUG